UACGAAGGGGGCUAGCGUUGCUCGGAAUCACUGGGCGUAAAGCGCACGUAGGCGGCUUUCUAAGUCAGGGGUGAAAUCCUGGAGCUCAACUCCAGAACUGCCUUUGAUACUGGAGAGCUCGAGUCCGGGAGAGGUGAGUGGAACUCCGAGUGUAGAGGUGAAAUUCGUAGAUAUUCGGAAGAACACCAGUGGCGAAGGCGGCUCACUGGCCCGGUACUGACGCUGAUGUGCGAAAGCGUGGGGAGCAAACAGG
rnacentral:rRNA from 1 species